UACGGGGGGGCAAGCGUUGUUCGGAAUUACUGGGCGUAAAGGGCUCGUAGGCGGCCAACUAAGUCAGACGUGAAAUCCCUCGGCUUAACCGGGGAACUGCGUCUGAUACUGGAUGGCUUGAGUUUGGGAGAGGGAUGCGGAAUUCCAGGUGUAGCGGUGAAAUGCGUAGAUAUCUGGAGGAACACCGGUGGCGAAAGCGGCUCUCUGGCCCGGUUCUGACGCUGAGGCGCGAAAAGCGUGGGGAGCAAACAGGG
rnacentral:rRNA from 1 species